rnacentral:rRNA from 1 species
GACGAACCGUGCGAACGUUGUUCGGAAUCACUGGGCUUAAAGGGCGCGUAGGCGGGCUGCCAAGUCUGGGGUGAAAUCCCACGGCUCAACCGUGGAACUGCCUCAGAUACUGGCGGCCUCGAGGAGGGUAGGGGCAUGCGGAACUAUGCGUGGAGCGGUGAAAUGCGUUGAUAUGCAUAGGAACUCCGGUGGCGAAGGCGGCGUGCUGGACCCUUUCUGACGCUGAUGCGCGAAAGCCAGGGGAGCGAACGGG